CAAACUGUUUUGUUACCUACGGAAGGCUUUCCUCCCCAUCUUUUUCUCUUUUCUCAUUUUCCCUUUCCCCUUCAGCCCUGUCACUCUCACAAAGCACAAACCCGAACCCAUAAAAAUUUCUCGUUGCAUUUUGAAGGUCAUCAAAGUCCCUGAAGGCUUUGAUUAUGAACUCUACAACCGCAACGAUAUCAACAGGAUUCUGGGUCCUAAAGCUUCUUGCAUUUCCUUCAAAGACUCAGCUUGUCGUUGCUUUGGCUACAUGGUGUCCAAGAAGAAGUAUAUCUACACAAUUGACGAUGACUGCUUUCAUCACAGUCUGUAAAGAAAAUCAUUGAAUGAUAUCCUUACAUGCUUGGCACUAUGGCUGGAGGAGCUGCUGACUAUCAAUUUUGGCACAGAAAUCUGGGCAUUAAGUGCCGAUUGCACGGAUUGGCAAACAAGCGCAGAAUUUCAGUCACAGGGGCAUCAAAGCUGUUGGCAAACAUUUUGUACUCUUACCGUGGAAUGGGUCUGUCUGUUGGGACCAUGAUUGCUGGAUGGGAUGAGAUUGUAAAGACACAUGACUGUACCAUGUCAUCUUAUUCUGUACUCUUUUAAGCAGACUCUUGUAAUUUGUAUUUUCUAUGGGUUGUAGAUAGUAUUACUUUCCUUUAAAUAUCAGAUAUAAGAGCAAGAAUUAGGGACUGAAUUGUAGGACUGAAUUGAGGACUGAAUUUGUAAUUUGUAUUCUUUACUCCUCCUCCCUGCUUUCUGCCCAGGUUUAUGGAUGUAUGGGAGGACUGAAUUGAGGGCUAAGCAUUGAAAUUUG